rnacentral:rRNA from 1 species
GAUGAACGCUGGCGGCGUGCCUAAUACAUGCAAGUCGAGCGAACAGACGAGGAGCUUGCUCCUCUGACGUUAGCGGCGGACGGGUGAGUAACACGUGGAUAACCUACCUAUAAGACUGGGAUAACUUCGGGAAACCGGAGCUAAUACCGGAUAAUAUAUUGAACCGCAUGGUUCAAUAGUGAAAGACGGUUUUGCUGUCACUUAUAGAUGGAUCCGCGCCGCAUUAGCUAGUUGGUAAGGUAACGGCUUACCAAGGCAACGAUGCGUAGCCGACCUGAGAGGGUGAUCGGCCACACUGGAACUGAGACACGGUCCAGACUCCUACGGGAGGCAGCAGUAGGGAAUCUUCCGCAAAGGGCGAAAGCCUGACGGAGCAACGCCGCGUGAGUGAUGAAGGUCUUCGGAUCGUAAAACUCUGUUAUUAGGGAAGAACAAAUGUGUAAGUAAAUAUGCACGUCUUGACGGUACCUAAUCAGAAAGCCACGGCUAACUACGUG